rnacentral:rRNA from 1 species
UUGGAGGGCAAGUCUGGUGCCAGCAGCCGCGGUAAUUCCAGCUCCAAUAGCGUAUAUUAAAGUUGUUGCAGUUAAAAAGCUCGUAGUUGAAUUUCGGGGUUAGCAAGUUGGUCGUGCCAAUGGUAUGUACUGGCUCGCUGAUUCCUCCUUCUUGUAGAACCGUAAUGCCAUUAAUUUAGUGUUGCGGGGAAACAGGACUGUUACUUUGAAAAAAUUAGAGUGUUUAAAGCAGGCUAGCGCCUGAAUACAUUAGCAUGGAAUAAUGAAAUAGGACGUUCGAACCUAUUUUGUUGGUUUCUAGGAUUGACGUAAUGAUUAAUAGGGAUAGUUGGGGGCAUUAGUAUUCAAUUGUCAGAGGUGAAAUUCUUGGAUUUAUUGAAGACUGACUACUGCGAAAGCAUUUGCCAAGGAUGUUUUCAUUAAUCAAGAACGAAAGUUAGGGGAUCGAAGACGAUCAGAUACCGUCGUAGUCUUAACCAUAAACUAUGCCGACUAGGGAUCGGAUGAUGUUAAUUUUUUAAUGACUCAUUCGGCGCCUUACGGGAAAC